GACGAACGCUGGCGGCGUGCCUAACACAUGCAAGUCGAGCGAGCGGCGGACGGGUGAGUAAUGUAUGGGGACUGCCCGAUAGAGGGGGAUAACUACUGGAAACGGUGGAUAAUACCGCAUACUAUCGGAUAACCCAUAGGGGAUUAGCUAGUAGGGGGGGUAAAGGCUCACCUAGGCGACGGUCUCUAGCUGGUCUGAGAGGAUGAUCAGCCACACUGGGACUGAGACACGGCCCAGACUCCUACGGAGGCAGCAGUGGGGAAUAUUGCACAAUGGGCGCAAGCCUGAUGCAGCCAUGCCGCGUGUAUGAAGAAGGCCUUAGGGUUGUAAAGUACUUUCAGCGGGGAGGCGUUACCCGCAGAAGAAGCAACGGCUAACUCCGUGCCAGCAGCCGCGGUAAUUC
rnacentral:rRNA from 1 species